rnacentral:rRNA from 1 species
AGAGUUUGAUCCUGGCUCAGAACGAACGCUGGCGGCGUGCUUAACACAUGCAAGUCGAACGGGAUCCAGAGCUUGCUCUGGUGAGAGUGGCGCACGGGUGAGUAACGCGUGGAUAACCUGCCCUGGUAUCCGGAAUAACAUCUCGAAAGGGGUGCUAAUACCGGAUAAGCCUACGGAGCCCUCGGUCUCCGCAGGAAAAGGUGGCCUCUAUUUAUAAGCUACCGUAUCAGGAUGGGUCCGCGUACCAUUAGCUAGUUGGUGGGGUAAUGGCCUACCAAGGCGACGAUGGUUAGCUGGUCUGAGAGGAUGAUCAGCCACACUGGAACUGAGACACGGUCCAGGCUCCUACGGGAGGCAGCAGUGGGGAAUUUUGCGCAAUGGGGGAAACCCUGACGCAGCAACGCCGCGUGAGUGAUGAAGGCUUUCGGGUCGUAAAGCUCUGUCAGAGGGGAAGAAAUGAGAUUGGCUAAUAUCCAAUUUUCUUGACGGUACCCUCAAAGGAAGCACCGGCUAACUCCGUGCCAGCAGCCGCGGUAA